UACGUAGGGGGCUAGCGUUGUCCGGAAUCAUUGGGCGUAAAGAGCGUGUAGGCGGCUCGGUAAGUCCGCUGUGAAAGUCCAGGGCUCAACCCUGGAAUGCCAGUGGAAACUGUCGAGCUAGAGUCCGGAAGAGGCGAGUGGAAUUCCUGGUGUAGCGGUGAAAUGCGCAGAUAUCAGGAGGAACACCAAUGGCGAAGGCAGCUCGCUGGGACGGUACUGACGCUGAGGCGCGACAGCGUGGGGAGCAAACAGG
rnacentral:rRNA from 1 species